AACGUAGGAGACAAACGUUAUCCGGAGUUACUGGGCGUAAAGGGCGUGUAGGUGGUUUCGUAAGUCUGGCGUGAAAUUUCUCGGCUUAACCGAGGCAGGUCGUCGGAUACUGCGGAACUUGAGGACGGUAGAGGCGUGUGGAAUUCCGGGUGUAGUGGUGAAAUGCGCAGAUAUCAGGAGGAACACCAAUUGCGAAGGCAGCUCGCUGGGACGUUACUGACGCUGAGACGCGAAAGCGUGGGGAGCAAACAGG
rnacentral:rRNA from 1 species